CUUGUUCCCUAUGUUAAGGGAGCC
rnacentral:miRNA from 1 species